ACCCCAGGCUAGAGAGGCUGCCACUACCUGGGGUACACCUGACCCGGGGCAGAUGGAAAAGAGGAAGUGCAGAACCACCUUGGAGUUCUUAAAACAAAAUAAUUUCUGCUCAAAUUCCACUGGCUGAAGCAAACCACGUUUGGGGAUUCCUGGAUCUGAAACAAACACAGACACAUCCAGCGACCCUUCCCCAGCAAGGCCCAAUCCCUGAAUCACAUCUUACUCAUCAGCCGCUCGCCUCAGCCCAGGUGAUGAGACUUUGGAGGAGAUUUACCUUGGGGAGACGCAGCUGGGAGACGAGUGGUGGAAACUGACUGGAUUUUCU